UACGUAGGGCGCAAGCGUUGUCCGGAAUUAUUGGGCGUAAGAGCUCGUAGGCGGUCUGUCGCGUCGGCUGUGAAAACCCGGAGCUCAACUCCGGGCCUGCAGUCGAUACGGGCAGACUGGAGUUCGGCAGGGGAGACUGGAAUUCCUGGUGUAGCGGUGAAAUGCGUAGAUAUCAGGAGGAACACCUGUGGCGAAGCGGCGCACUGGACCAACAACUGACGCUGAGGCGCGAAAGCUAGGGAGCAAACAGG
rnacentral:rRNA from 1 species